GGGGGAUAUUGCGCAAUGGGGGCAACCCUGACGCAGCAACGCCGCGUGAAGGAUGAAGGUUUUCGGAUUGUAAACUUCUUUUAUUAAGGACGAAACUUGACGGUACUUAAUGAAUAAGCUCCGGCUAACUACGUGCCAGCAGCCGCGGUAAUACGUAGGGAGCAAGCGUUGUCCGGAUUUACUGGGUGUAAAGGGUGCGUAGGCGGCUUUGCAAGUCAGAUGUGAAAUCUAUGGGCUCAACCCAUAAACUGCAUUUGAAACUGUAGAGCUUGAGUGAAGUAGAGGCAGGCGGAAUUCCCCGUGUAGCGGUGAAAUGCGUAGAGAUGGGGAGGAACACCAGUGGCGAAGGCGGCCUGCUGGGCUUUAACUGACGCUGAGGCACGAAAGCGUGGGUAGCAAACAGGAUUAGAUACCCUGGUAGUCCACGCUGUAAACGAUGAUUACUAGGUGUGGGGGAUCUGACCCCUUCCGUGCCGGAGUUAACACAAUAAGUAAUCCACCUGGGGAGUACGGCCGCAAGGUUGAAACUCAAAGGAAUUGACGGGGGCCCGCACAAGCAGUGGAGUAUGUGGUUUAAUUCGAAGCAACGCGAAGAACCUUACCAGGUCUUGACAUCCAACUAACGAAGUAGAGAUACAUUAGGUGCCCUUCGGGGAAAGUUGAGACAGGUGGUGCAUGGUUGUCGUCAGCUCGUGUCGUGAGAUGUUGGGUUAAGUCCCGCAACGAGCGCAACCCUUGCUAUUAGUUGCUACGCAAGAGCACUCUAAUAGGACUGCCGUUGACAAAACGGAGGAAGGUGGGGACGACGUCAAAUCAUCAUGCCCCUUAUGACCUGGGCUACACACGUACUACAAUGGAUGUUAACAGAGGGAAGCAAGACAGCGAUGUGGAGCAAACCCCUAAAAACAUUCUCAGUUCAGAUUGCAGGCUGCAACCCGCCUGCAUGAAGAUGGAAUUGCUAGUAAUCGCGGAUCAGCAUGCCGCGGUGAAUACGUUCCCG
rnacentral:rRNA from 1 species